GCCGCGGUAAUACGGAGGAUUCGAGCGUUAUCCGGAUUUAUUGGGUUUAAAGGGAGCGUAGGUGGAUUGUUAAGUCAGUUGUGAAAGUUUGCGGCUCAACCGUAAAAUUGCAGUUGAAACUGGCAGUCUUGAGUACAGUAGAGGUGGGCGGAAUUCGUGGUGUAGCGGUGAAAUGCUUAGAUAUCACGAAGAACUCCGAUUGCGAAGGCAGCUCACUGGACUGCAACUGACACUGAUGCUCGAAAGUGUGGGUAUCAAACAGGAUUAGAUACCCUGGUAGUCCACACAGUAAACGAUGAAUACUCGCUGUUUGCGAUAUACAGUAAGCGGCCAAGCGAAAGCAUUAAGUAUUCCACCUGGGGAGUACGCCGGCAACGGUGAAACUCAAAGGAAUUGACGGGGGCCCGCACAAGCGGAGGAACAUGUGGUUUAAUUCGAUGAUACGCGAGGAACCUUACCCGGGCUUAAAUUGCACCUGAAUAAUGUGGAAACAUGUUAGCCGUAAGGCAGGUGUGAAGGUGCUGCAUGGUUGUCGUCAGCUCGUGCCGUGAGGUGUCGGCUUAAGUGCCAUAACGAGCGCAACCCUUAUCUUCAGUUACUAACAGGUCAUGCUGAGGACUCUGGAGAGACUGCCGUCGUAAGAUGUGAGGAAGGUGGGGAUGACGUCAAAUCAGCACGGCCCUUACGUCCGGGGCUACACACGUGUUACAAUGGGAGGUACAGAAGGCCGCUACCUGGCGACAGGAUGCCAAUCCCCAAAACCUCUCUCAGUUCGGAUCGAAGUCUGCAACCCGACUUCGUGAAGCUGGAUUCGCUAGUAAUCGCGCAUCAGCCAUGGCGCGGUGAAUACGUUCCCGGGCCUUGUACACACCGCCCGU
rnacentral:rRNA from 1 species